rnacentral:rRNA from 1 species
GUAGGGUGCGAGCGUUGUCCGGAAUUAUUGGGCGUAAAGGGCUCGUAGGCGGUUUGUCGCGUCGGGAGUGAAAACCCAGGGCUUAACCCUGGGCCUGCUUCCGAUACGGGCAGACUAGAGGUAUGCAGGGGAGAACGGAAUUCCUGGUGUAGCGGUGAAAUGCGCAGAUAUCAGGAGGAACACCGGUGGCGAAGGCGGUUCUCUGGGCAUUACCUGACGCUGAGGAGCGAAAGUGUGGGGAGCGAACAGGAUUAGAUACCCUGGUAGUCCACACCGUAAACGUUGGGCGCUAGGUGUGGGACUCAUUCCACGAGUUCCGUGCCGCAGCUAACGCAUUAAGCGCCCCGCCUGGGGAGUACGGCCGCAAGGCUAAA